rnacentral:misc_RNA from 1 species
GAUGAAGAACGCAGUGAAAUGCGAUAAGUAAUGUGAAUUGCAGAAUCUCGUGAAUCAUCGAAUCUUUGAACGCACAUUGCGCCCCCUGGUAUUCCGGGGGGCAUGCCUGUCCGAGCGUCAUUGCUGCCCUCAAGCACGGCUUGUGUGUUGGGCUCCGUCCCCCCGGGGACGGGCCCGAAAGGCAGCGGCGGCACCGAGUCCGGUCCUCGAGCGUAUGGGGCUUUGUCACCCGCUCUGUAGGCCCGGCCGGCGCCAGCCGACAACCCAUCAUCCUUUUCAGGUUGACCUCGGAUCAGGUAGGGAUACCCGCUGAACUUAAGCAUAUCAAUAAGCGGAGGA